GGAUUAGAUACCCUGGUAGUCCACGCUGUAAACGAUGUGCACUAGAUAUUGUGGGGUUGACCUCUGCAGUGUCGCCGCUAACGCAUUAAGUGCACCGCCUGGGGAGUACGGUCGCAAGACUAAAACUCAAAGGAAUUGACGGGGGCCCGCACAAGCGGUGGAUCAUGUGGUUUAAUUCGAAGCAACGCGCAAAACCUUACCUGGGCUUGAAGUCCUACGAACCCGGCCCAAAAGCUGGGGUGCCCUUCGGGGAAUGUAGUGAAAGGCGCUGCAUGGCUGUCGUCAGCUCGUGCCG
rnacentral:rRNA from 1 species